UCCGCGGUGGCGCGGAGCGUGGCGAGUUCCCCUACCUGGGGCGGCUCCGCGAGGAGCCCGGCGGGGGCACCUGCUGCGUCGUCUCGGGCAAGGCGCCCAGCCCAGGCGAUGUGCUUCUGGAGGUAAACGGGACGCCUGUCAGCGGGCUCACCAACCGGGACACCCUGGCUGUCAUCCGCCACUUCCGCGAGCCCAUCCGUCUCAAGACUGUGAAACCAGGCAAAGUCAUUAAUAAAGAUUUGCGGCAUUACCUAAGUCUUCAGUUUCAAAAAGGAUCAAUUGACCACAAACUGCAGCAAGUGAUCAGAGAUAAUCUCUACUUGAGAACCAUUCCAUGCACUACAAGGGCCCCCAGGGAUGGGGAAGUACCAGGAGUGGAUUAUAAUUUCAUUUCCGUUGAACAAUUCAAAGCACUGGAAGAGAGUGGAGCAUUGUUAGAAAGUGGGACAUAUGAUGGUAUGUCCCCAAAUAACAACACUACCACCCAAAAAACUAUCUGAACGACUGGAAUUAUUUCAGAGGGAAUUUGACCAGUAUAGUACCACUUUUUGAAAAACUUUUUUUCCUCUCUGUUUUUGAGAAAAUUUUAUUUUGAUGGGGAGAUUUGUAAUUUAUUAAUUAAAAUGGGAUUAAAUAAUAAGCAAAAAAAUCCAUCAUAUUUUAAAGUUGAUUGUGAACAAUAUAUUAAAAAUCAGCCAAACUGUCCAGUUUAUAUAUUUCAUACUAAUUCACAUUCAUCAUGUGAACUCAGUGAGUAUUUGUUGAUUGCAUUUUAUUUGUAGUUGGAAUUCAAAAUCUGUACUCUAAAAAACUUACAUGUACCUUGACUAUCCUGGAAAAAAGAGAAUAUAAAAUUUGGGGAGAAAACAACAAAAACAGAAUAAUUGGUUUUCUUU
rnacentral:sRNA from 1 species